rnacentral:rRNA from 1 species
UACGGAAGGCAGCAGUGGGGAAUAUUGCACAAUGGGCGAAAGCCUGAUGCAGCUAUGCCGCGUGUAUGAAGAAGGCCUUAGGGUUGUAAAGUACUUUCAUCGGGGAGGAAAAACAAAACUAAUAAUUUUAUUUCUUGACGUUACCCGAAAAAGAAGCACCGGCUAACUCCGUGCCAGCAGCCGCGGUAAUACGGAGGGUGCUAGCGUUAAUCAGAAUUACUGGGCGUAAAGAGCACGUAGGUGGUUUUUUAAAGUCAGAUGUGAAAUCCCUGGGCUUAACCUAGGAACUGCAUUUUGAAACUGAAAUACUAGAGUAUCGUAGAGGGAGGUAGAAUUCUAGGUGUAGCGGUGAAAUGCGUAGAUAUCUGGAGGAUACCUGUGGCGAAAGCGGCCUCCUAAACGAAUACUGACACUGAGGUGCGAAAGCGUGGGGAGCAAACAGGGAUUAGAUACC